rnacentral:rRNA from 1 species
UACGAAGGGGGCUAGCGUUGUUCGGAAUCACUGGGCGUAAAGGGCGCGUAGGCGGCUGUUCAAGUCGGGGGUGAAAGCCUGUGGCUCAACCACAGAAUUGCCUUCGAUACUGGACGGCUCGAGACCGGAAGAGGUCAGUGGAACUGCGAGUGUAGAGGUGAAAUUCGUAGAUAUUCGCAAGAACACCAGUGGCGAAGGCGGCUGACUGGUCCGGUUCUGACGCUGAGGCGCGAAAGCGUGGGAGCAAACAGG